rnacentral:lncRNA from 1 species
UGGUUUAAGGAUCCAGUGCUGCCGUGAGCUGUGGUGUAGGUUGCAGACAUGGCUCAAAUCCCGAGUUGCUGUGGCUCUGGUGUAGGCCGGUGGCUACAGCUCCGAUUAGACCCCUAGCCUGGGAACCUCCGUAUGCUGCAGAAGCAGCCCUAGAAAUGGCAAAAAGACAAAUAAUAAUAAUAAAUAAAAAGAAUCAAUAAGUGAUUUGAAAACUAGUACACUAUACAGUUUUAGGAAAACGGCCUGCUUCCAAGUGUUCUUUUUUAGGUGUCAUAUUACCGGGAAUGUGUCUGCGAGGGGAAUCCUGUCAUGUCACCUUGGUGUCUUGUGAGGUUUCCUCUGGUGCCAGCCACUGAACCUGAGGCAGAGCCCAACAGAGCCCCUUUCACAUUUCAGGGUGCAAGCCUGCUUUCCAGACCUCUAGCCUUGGUUUCCAAUGAGAGAAAAAGGUACCAGAAAGUGCUCUUGGCAAGUUUGGGAACAAGGAGGAAAGGUGUAGACUUUUUUCCCCCCAUUAAAGUUUUCAUGUACUGGCAAUUUAAAACCCAAAGCAUUGUUUACCACCUGUCAGAUGCACUGGGAAGUGUAGGGAUUAACUAAUAAAAGAUUCGUAAAAUGCUUCCUGAAUAUAAAAUUCCAUAAAUAUGCUAAAUAGUAAUAAUCCACCCAUUGUUAAAUUUAUGUAGCUGCUUCUGUCAUGCAUACAAGAUGAUUUAGAAUGCAUGUUUCCUGUCAAUUAAACAAUGAGUUUGGAGGAAAAUAAUGAGUUCAAUUCGCAUCCUAUGAAACUUUUGAAAUACAAUUUCUCCCAUAAGGCACCAUUGGCGGGGAGUCAUAAAGUAAGCGGCAUUUCAAAAAGCUAUAUAUGGAAUGGCAUUUACCUUAUGGUUGGGGGAAAAGGGACCCAGCAAACUUCUGAAACUAAGAAAUAUGCAGCCCUCAUUCGAGUGUGCCUGAAACCAUAAAUAUUCCCUUACGUUUUAGGUGAGACAACAGGGAGGGCAAACGGGUUUUGUGGGAUGGCCUUAUAGCUGUCCUCUUGAAUCCAUGAAAUAUGCCUCUUGCUAUUUCGAGGCUGAAGUUUAAUCUGUGGUUUUGUUCAUAGACAAAGGGGAAAGUCUUCAGAGUUGCUUGGAUAAAUUAUUCAUUCUUCCAAUAUCAUGGGCUUCGUUUUUAAGCAUUCUUAACACCAGUAAUCAUUUUAAUAUCCUGCAGAUAAUUGAAUUAGUUUGUUCCCAGUGGACUGAGUGACAUGUUAACAUUGUUCUCUUUGCAUGUAUUUAAUAAGAAAGUGUGUCAUUCUUCUGUUUACCAGUCUCCUGGAAUAAAAGCCAUUCCUUAUAUGCUAAUUUUAGGUAGGAACAUUGCUAUGGAUGGUCUGUUUAGGCUUAUGAAGACAACCCUAGACUUCCCACUAGCUGAUUAAGGGGUGAGCAAAACCAUAAAGUUGCGAAUGCUUUUCCUUGAUACCUUCCCACUUUCCGUAGCCUUUUCUUCUCAUUUCCUUUACUCAGCUCUCUCAGAUGGACAGGUGCUAAACAGAUACCAGUCUAGUAGUCCAGAACUUCCCUCUGCCCCCACUCUUCCUUUAUCCAAGUAACUUAACCUCUGCCCUACUUCUAGUCCAACAGCUUGCUAUAGCUGCAAGUGCACUAGGUGAAAAAUCAAGAGAGUCCACGUGUGGCUAUGCUAUACCCGGCACUGUGCACCAUUAUCUCAUUAAACCCCUGUGAUCAUCUGAGGCAGUAGAUGCCAUCUGUGUUUCACACAAGAGGAAACUUAGCCUCAGAGAAGCUCUGGACCAGGGCCUUUUGGCACUUCCUAAUGCACUGUAUCCCCUAAGAAGGGCUCACAUUCUGUACUGAAGCAUGAAAGACUUCUCCCAUUUACCUAACUUGCCAUUUGAUAAGUCCCUUGAGCUCUCUGGGCCUUUGAUUUCCUUUCUCUUGUUUUGGAUUAAAUUGUCUCUCAAAGAUCGAAGGAACUGACUGUUCCAGGAUUUGGGCUGCGAAGCACAUAAGGUGCCCCUCCCAGGGGAUUACUGACUGUGCUCUCCCCUGCCCUGCCCUUUCCUCCAAUCCCUUCCCUUGUUUAUCUUUUUGCUUCCUUUAAGUCCAAGAAAAGAUCACCUUCUCCUAGAGGCUUUUCCCAGUCACAGCUUGGACUUCAGUUAUUCCCUCCUUCAGUCUUAGUGAUCCUUUGGAACACUGAUUACAAGCUGUGGUUAUUUUAUUUGUGUGUCAGCUGACAUGCGGUGGUUGUUUUUUAUCUUCUCCCCCAUCCCUCCCCCAUAAGAUGAUAAGCAGCAUGAGGCCAGAGCUCUUUUUUGUCUGUUUUUAAUAUUUAUUUUCAGGGCCUGACUCUGUGACACAUAGUUGGUGGUCAAGAAGUAUAUGUUGAAUGAAUAAUUGUCUCUUAUAAAGGACAUGGGUUAAUGGCCAAUGUAUUGUCCCCUUCCUCGGGAUAACCUAAAUGAAGUCCAUCAGUCUUACACUGUGAGGGAGUUCUCACGGUGGCUCAGCGGUAACAAACCCGACUAGUAUCCAUGAGGAUGCAGGUUUGAUCCCUGGCCUCGCUCAGCGGGUUACAGAUCUGGCGUUGCAAGGGAGCUACAGUGCAGGUUGCAGAUGAGGCUCAUGUCCCACAUGGCUGAGGCUGUGGACUAAGCCUGUACCUGCAUCUCUGAUUUGACCCAUAGCCUGGGAACUUCCAUAGGCCUCGGGAGUGGCCCUAAAAAAACAAAACAAAACAAAACAAAACAAAAAUCUCACACUGUGAGAGUAAGCCUAAAUUAUAAAUGAGGAUCCAAGUAUAGUGACAGAAACAUCAGGUCUACCCUCGGUUGAUAGGACAGAUGGGCAAACUGCAUAUGGUCCCACCUCCAUAUUUUACAGCAGAAAGAACCACCUCAGAAUGAUAACAGAAAUGUGGGUUUAGAAGACACCAGAAGAGACCAGUCCAUGGUCUAAACCAUUGCUUUACUGACAAAGAGACUGAAGCUCAGAAAAACACAGAACCCAAAGUAUAGAAUCUAUGCCUCCUGACUUCCAGACCAGCACUCUUUUCACCAAGAAUCAAAAAUCUCAGUAAUCAUCUAGUCAACAAGGGUGGGGAAUUUGGGACAAUGAUGCUUUCUUUCAGAAAUUACAAAGAUCCUUAGGUUUCCCAGACCAAUCCUGGAAGCAGCAUUACUCCAGAGAAGAACAUCCUAUUCAUAUCAUCUUAUUUUAAAAUUUCAUAUGGCCUCUAUAAACUACAGGGACUCAUUUACUAUUUUAAGGCUCCAUCAGGCAACCUUGUAAUACCUAUCAUUAGUUUACCAAUUCUGUUUAAAUACUUGGGAGCUCCAAAUGAGAAAUCUUCAGCACUGAGCAUUUAACACUAGUGUGAUAGAUUUCAGAUACAUUUAAAAAAUGAUUGGUAUUUUGAACUCUAAAAAAUGAUGGCGUGUUUUUAAAGGCUAAAAUAACUUUUCUUCUCUAACUUAGACAGCAAUCCUUGCUAGAGUAUUCCUUCUCAGUAAAAAAGCUGUUCUUAAACUUUAGAGGUCAAAAAAAUCAUCUGCAAGGCUUUUUAAAAACCCAGAUAGCUCGGAGCCAUUCUGCACAAUUCUGAAUUAAUACAUAUGAGAUUGAACUCAGACAACUGCAUUUUUAACAGAUACCUUUAGUGAUUUCUCCAUCAAAUGGUCUGAAGUCUCACCCUGAGAUCCAAAAAUAACUUUGGAAUGUUGUGAAUUUUCCCAGAUUCCUUCUAAGAGGAUUUUUAAUCAAAAAAUCAGUGUGUUUGAAUCCAGCAGAUAGUUAUGAUCAAAAUCAGUUUAUUAGGUAUUAUGAACAUCUGUUUCCUUAUAGUAAGAGCCAUAAUGUAUAAUCAUGAUUUAGCUCCUAGCUUUGAUAUUGGCUCCAAAGUAAGAACAUUCCAAAACAUUUCUGCUGGGCC